rnacentral:rRNA from 1 species
GACGAACCGUCCAAACGUUAUUCGGAAUCAUUGGGCUUAAAGGGUGCGUAGGCGGUGCGGCAAGUUGGGUGUGAAAUCCCUCGGCUCAAUCGAGGAAUGGCGCCCAAAACUGCCGUACUCGAGGGAGACAGGGGUAAGCGGAACUGAUGGUGGAGCGGUGAAAUGCGUUGAUAUCAUCAGGAACACCAGUGGCGAAAGCGGCUUACUGGGUCUCUUCUGACGCUGAGGCACGAAAGCUAGGGCAGCAAACGCG